rnacentral:rRNA from 1 species
GACGAGCCUCACGAACGUUAUUCGGAAUUACUGGGCUUAAAGGGUGCGUAGGCGGUGCGGAAAGUUGGGUGUGAAAUCCCUCGGCUCAACCGAGGAACUGCGCCCAAAACUACCGUACUCGAGGAAGAUAGAGGUGAGCGGAACUUACGGUGGAGCGGUGAAAUGCGUUGAUAUCGUAAGGAACACCCGUGGCGAAAGCGGCUCACGGGGUCUUUUCUGACGCUGAUGCACGAAAGCUAGGGGAGCAAACGGG